GAUGAACGCUGGCGGCGUGCCUAAUACAUGCAAGUCGAGCGAACGGACGAGAAGCUUGCUUCUCUGAUGUUAGCGGCGGACGGGUGAGUAACACGUGGAUAACCUACCUAUAAGACUGGGAUAACUUCGGGAAACCGGAGCUAAUACCGGAUAAUAUUUUGAACCGCAUGGUUCAAAAGUAAAAGACGGUCUUGCUGUCACUUAUAGAUGGAUCCGCGCUGCAUUAGCUAGUUGGUAAGGUAACGGCUUACCAAGGCAACGAUGCAUAGCCGACCUGAGAGGGCGAGCGGACACACGGGAAAUGAGACAAGGGCCAGACCCAGAGGGGAGGCAGAAGUAGGGAAUCGCCAGAAAUGGGAGAAAGCCGGAAGGAGAAACGCCGGGGGAGUGAGGAAGGUAUGGGAAGAAAAAAACUUUUUUAUGGGGGAAAAAAAUAGGUAAAAGUAAAUGUGCAAAUCUGGAGGGAACAAAAAAAAAAAGACAGGAAAAAAAACGGC
rnacentral:rRNA from 1 species